AAAAGCGUCCCGUUGCGGUGCUCACAGCGCAGCGCCCUGCAGCUUGUUUGCCAGGGCGGCUCUCCCAUUCUUAUUUGCUUUGAGCAAGUAUCAGACUGCCUCAGAGACGGCAGGAAAAGAGAAGUGUAAGCUUCCUAAAUUGUGAGGCGGGUUGAAAGAUGGAGAUCACAGACUUGGUGCAUGUUGAAAAACAAUCCCUUUUCAUAAGCCAAGAAGUUGAAGAGAGGCAUAGUUCAAAGGUGUUUCCGGUUUCAUAGCAUGAACUGUGCAUUUCCUAUCUUUCUUUAGUAACUCUCCACCUGUUUCGUGCGUGACAACCCUCCUCAAGAAUAGCAGUGCUAGUAAGAAUGAAACACUCCACUUCUUCCACUCCACAUGCAGAAGAUGGGAUUGUACGAUAUGUGCGCUGCACCAAGGCUGUUUUAACAAACUGUACUUUAUUUUUAUGCUACCAGUGUUUUAUUUUUUAUGCAUCUAAAUUGUUGUGAUCCGCUCUGAGCCGGC